rnacentral:rRNA from 1 species
AACGAACGCUGGCGGCAGGCUUAACACAUGCAAGUCGAACGCAUCGCAAGAUGAGUGGCAGACGGGUGAGUAACGCGUGGGAACAUACCCUUUUCUACGGAAUAGCUCUGGGAAACUGGAAUUAAUACCGUAUACGCCCCACGGGGGAAAGAUUUAUCGGGGAAGGAUUGGCCCGCGUUGGAUUAGCUAGGUGGUGGGGUAAAGGCCUACCAAGGCGACGAUCCAUAGCUGGUCUGAGAGGAUGAUCAGCCACAUUGGGACUGAGACACGGCCCAAACUCCUACGGGAGGCAGCAGUGGGGAAUAUUGGACAAUGGGCGCAAGCCUGAUCCAGCCAUGCCGCGUGAGUGAUGAAGGCCUUAGGGUUGUAAAGCUCUUUCACCGAUGAAGAUAAUGACGGUAGUCGGAGAAGAAGCCCCGGCUAACUUCGUGCCAGCCGCCGCCGUAAUAC